ACCAGACUCCUACGGGAGGCAGCAGUAGGGAAUAUUGCACAAUGGGGGAAACCCUGAUGCAGCGACGCCGCGUGAGUGAAGAAGUAUUUCGGUAUGUAAAGCUCUAUCAGCAGGGAGGAAAAUGACGGUACCUGACUAAGAAGCCCCGGCUAACUACGUGCCAGCAGCCGCGGUAAUACGUAGGGGGCAAGCGUUAUCCGGAUUUACUGGGUGUAAAGGGAGCGUAGACGGCAUGGCAAGUCAGAUGUGAAAGCCCGGGGCUCAACCCCGGGACUGCAUUUGAAACUGUCAGGCUGGAGUGCAGGAGAGGUAAGUGGAAUUCCUAGUGUAGCGGUGAAAUGCGUAGAUAUUAGGAGGAACACCAGUGGCGAAGGCGGCUUACUGGGCUGUAACUGACGUUGAGGCUCGAAAGCGUGGGGAGCAAACAGGAUUAGAUACCCGUGUAC
rnacentral:rRNA from 1 species